AUGAUAUCUAAUAGUAGUUUUAUUCUUGCUUAAUUACUUAUUUUAAUUUGAUAUUAUAUGCAAAUUUUUGUAUUUUUGAAAUGCUUAAUGUAAUCAGAUUUAUUUUUGCAGUAAUAAAUAUUAAGUGAUAAAAGAGAUUUUGAUUUAGUUAAUUUUAUUGAUAUUGAUUAAAUAUGUGCCAGCAGUCGCGGUUAAACAUAAGAUAUAAAUAAGUAUUUUUAGUUAUAUAGUUUAUUUAAUUAACUUAAUUUAAUUUAAUAAUUUUUAGGUAAAAUUUAAAUUUUUAUUUAUUUUGGAGGAAGGUGAAUGAGGCUAUGAAAUCUAAAUUGGUUAAACUAGGAUUAGAUACCCUAUUAUUUUAGAUUUAAAGGUUUAACUUGAGUAGUAUUAGGUAUGAUCUUGAAACUUAAAGAAUUUGGCGGUAUUUUAGUCUAGUUAGAGGAAUUUGUCCCAUUAUCGAUAAUCCGCGUUGAACCUUACUCAUUAUAAUUUAAUAUGUAUACCGCCGUUUAUUUGAAGAUCUUUUUAGGGUUAAUUUUCUUGAAAUUGGAGUUGAUUUUAUUUCAGGUCAAGGUGCAGUUGAUAAUUGAGUGGUGAUGAAUUACAUUAUUUAUAAUAUAUACGAAUUGAGAUUUGCAAUAUUUUAUGAAGGAGGAUUUAAUAGUAAUUAAUAAUAAGAAUUAUUUUUGUGAUUUUAGCUCUAGAAUGUGUACACAUCGCCCGUCACUCUCGUUAUUAAGAUGAGAUAAGUCGUAACAAAGUAGGUGUACCGGAAGGUGUAGCUAGAUUGAU
rnacentral:ncRNA from 1 species